CGAAACUGAUCCGAGCCCGAAAACGAACCAGCUGCGAUUUCUCCAAGAUCCGGCCACCAAAACUCGAGGUUCUUCACUUGUUGAACUCGCCUCAACUUUCUGAACAAGCACCAAGAAGGACCGGACCUGAAGUGAGCAAUUUCACAUUGAACGGAGCUUCAUCGGAAAACUGGAGAAAUUCCGGCCAAACCGGACUGUUUUAGGUGUUUGACGGUUUGAUUUGGCGGACGAUUUGUGAUUCAUAUUUCGAGCUGUUAAGAAGACGCAGCGGGAUUAGAGGGGUUUUUGUGCAGGUUAGAAUUUAGAGUGAUCGUUAUCGAAGCUGAGGUGGACUUUCCGUCACGUGGGUGUAGAAGGGCGCUUAUACUUGUAGUCUUCCGCUGUAUAGUGAAUUGGUGAGUGUGUUUACAUGUUGAUUUUACAUUCAGUUUAAUUUGUAAGCUUAGUUUUUAGUUGCUUAUUUUAAAUGAAAAUUUUCUAUGUAUUUCCUUGUGUGUUUUCGCGUUUCGGAUUUGAAUUACUGUAUUCAAAAUUCGGAGCG